rnacentral:rRNA from 1 species
AUUGAACGCUGGCGGAAUGCUUUACACAUGCAAGUCGAACGGCAGCACGGGGCAACCUGGUGGCGAGUGGCGAACGGGUGAGUAAUACAUCGGAACGUGCCCAAUCGUGGGGGAUAACGUAGCGAAAGUUACGCUAAUACCGCAUACGAUCUAACGGAUGAAAGCGGGGGAUCGCAAGACCUCGCGCGAGUGGAGCGGCCGAUGUCAGAUUAGGUAGUUGGUGGGGUAAAGGCUCACCAAGCCAACGAUCUGUAGCUGGUCUGAGAGGACGACCAGCCACACUGGAACUGAGACACGGUCCAGACUCCUACGGGAGGCAGCAGUGGGGAAUUUUGGACAAUGGGCGCAAGCCUGAUCCAGCCAUUCCGCGUGCAGGAUGAAGGCCUUCGGGUUGUAAACUGCUUUUGUACGGUAACGAAACGGCGAGCUCUAAUACAGUUUGCUAAUGACGGUACCGUAAGAAUAAGCACCGGCUAACUACGUGCCAGCAGCCGCGGU